rnacentral:lncRNA from 1 species
AGAAAAUUCAAGAUCAUGUGUUUUCAUGACCUCUUUUGCCAUUCUUGCCGAAGAAACAACUAGGGUUGGCACGAAACCAAGGCGCAAGAACAUGAGGGGGCCAUAUUGUUUAGAAAGUCGCCAUAGGUAGAGAUGAGGAGCUGAUUUAUCAAGCUGGAGCAAGUUUCCAAUAAAGGGCAGCCCUGGAGGACCUGGUGGAAGGGGCGCUCUUCUUUGGUUUCGAAGAAGAAACAAGAGGAAGAGAGGGAGAGCUAAAAGGAUAAGAAGCAAUAUCAUCAUGGUUUGGGGAGCUGCUGAGAGUGCUUGAUAUGCAAAAAUGUUGAAGGAGUCUCUCCAAAAAAUGAAAAAGAAACAGCUCUGAACGGCAAUGGACUAUCAGAUGCAGUGUUUGAUUUACGCUGGCCGAUGAGCGUGGGGCUGAUUUCUAAUAUCAUGGACCUGCUUCGGAAGCCUAUUGUUAAUGCUUAAUUGGCAGUUUGUCACAGAUCUGGUUGCUCUAUGAAAUGGACUCAAAUUUGGGCUUGGCUAAAUGAUUGGAAUCAGGCUGAUCCCACUACGAUGGAUUGUGUGAAGAAGAAAGAAUAAACUACAGUGUGGGUGACUUUUCAAUGGAUAAAGCAUUAAGACAAGCAAAGCUUCAUAUUUUUCAAUAAAGCAGUAAACUAAGGACAAAGGAGCAUCUCCAUCUUCCAGAUAUAGACCGUAACGUGUUUGAUAAAUAUGUAUACCAUUAGGAUAUGUUUGGAUGUCAAGUCAAAAUGAACUGCCCAUAUUUGUGUUUUAUAUGAAAAUGGGGCCAAAUCCUUGAAGGGGAUUGUUUCUGUCGUGUUCUUCAGAAGUCAGUUCCACGCGUUUAAAUUUUCAACGGUGAGGACUGGACCAUAAAUUGGAUGGACUGGAAUGCAGCCUACAGAUUUCGGUAUAUCAUUUAUACAAAAUUAGAUUCGAGAAUCAGAUGAUAUUGUUAAAAAAAGCUUUUGUGGAUCAUAUUGGGCCUGUUUCAAAUGUAAGAAAUGUUGUGUUUGGGUUUCGGUUGGCCAAUGGUAUGCUGGUUCCUUUUUUAGACCAUGAUCUAAUAUUCGGCUCCAAUUCCAAUUCCAUUUACUUUGGUCUUAUAUACAUUAUAAUUUCCUUCUUCUUUUUUUUUUUUUUGGUGAAAUUUUCCAAUAUAUAUAUCUUGAAUUGCCUUAGAAGACCUUGAAUCAACAACUCCAAAGACAGAAAAAAAACUCUACAAAUUGUCUUAUUAGAUUAAAAGUGAUUAUAAGAAAUAUUUUUAGUUUAAAUAGUGUUUUUUGAAAAAAUAUUAGGUGUUAUAUAAAAUUUAGGAAAUAUUUUUAAAAAUCUGAAAAAUCACUUGUAAUGCUAGAAAAUCAAUUGUAAUGUUUUUUUUUUUUUGAGAAAUAUUGUAUAGGUAAUUUUUUAAAAAACAUUUUUAGAAAAAAUAUUUUCACUAAAAACGCUUCAAGUAAAUAUUAUCAAACACACAUUAAGGAAGACAAAAGAAAAUUUAAAGUGAUUUUAUUUUUUGAAAUAAUUAUGUAGAUUUACUUAUCUGAAUAAAUCCAAAAUGAAAUUGGCUUUAGUUUUUAAAAAAUCCAUCUUAUAUUUUUUACACCAUAUUUGCAACUUGAUUGUUCAAAACCAUACAAUUUAUAAAUGUUUUUAGCUUUACAAAAUCUUAUAUAUCAGGAUCCUUCAUAUGGUGAAGACAUAAUUAAUUUACAAUCAAUAAUAUUUUAUUUAUUGUUUCUCUUUAAUUUAAAUGUCACGAUUUUUUGUUUAAUCAAAAUCUUAUUUCAGUGAACUUACACAAUGAUUCAGAUCCUUGUAAUAUGAUUUAGUGAGACAUGAGUAUGACAUGGAUAACGACCCAAGUAGGGAAACUUAUCUAAAAUAGAAGUAAAAAAGUCUACAAAUGUGUCUUAUAAAUAUAUUAAUUUUCCCUUAUUGUUUUCCUAAAUGUUAUUUGAUAUUUUUAUUUUUUAGGUGUUCAUGUGUUAUCUUCUUAUUGAAGUGAUAACUUCUUAUAACAGAAAAUAUAUCCCUUGAACUUAUGUAAUCAUACUCUUAAAAACACGACAUCUAAUUCAUAUUCUUGAAAACACAACAUCUAAUUUGUGUUCUUGAGAACACAAAAUAUGGUUUGCAUUCUCAAGAAUACAGUUGUAGGAGAGUAUUCGAUACAAGAAAUUUAUGUUGUGUUUUCAUCUUUACUUGAGUGCCCACUUCAUGUGCAAAGGCUUAUUAUGUUUGAUUUGAGUUAUGUAGUUUUUUUUUUUUUUUUCACUUUUUGUGUUCUUGUGUUUAAUUUAUUAUAUUUAAUUUUUUCUACUUAACUUGAAUUUUUUUGCUCCACUUUUUGUUCUUUUUAUGCUUUAUUUAUUACUUUGAUAUUAAUUAUAUUAUUAUUAUUGCUAUAAUUAUUUAUGUUAGCAAAUUUUAAUUAAAUAAUUAUAUUAUUAUUAGAAUUUAAUAUUAUUUGUAUGGACAUGCAUGAUACCUAUUACUAGAUGAAGUUAUUAUUUAUAUUAUUAAUAUUAUUAUUUAUCUCUUGAUCUCAUAUACCAUGAAGAUGCAUUCAUUUUUAAUUUACAAAAUUUGAAGUUGUUAUUAUAAAAAUCAUUUACCCAAUGUAAUGCAUUGAUACAAAGCUUUCCAAAGCAUAUGUAUGAAAAAAAUAUAUUGAUUUUAUAAUAUAAAUAUACUAAAAUAAUCAAUACAAGAUGAUAAGCUUAUUUUUUUCUUAUAUACCAUUUGACAUCUUAUAUAUAGAUAUAAUUUUUGUUCAAACUAUUACCUAAUAUAAUACAUCUUUACUCGUAUCGAGUACUUUCCCUCAUAUAGCAUAGAUAUUCUCUACUCCCACAAUGCCAACUACAACACAAAGGGAAAACAUCCACUAAAUAAAAGGAAAUCUCUUCAAGGGAGCUUCCAAUGGCUGAAAUUGGUGGGGAAAUUGCUUGCAAUCUAUUAUAGGCAUAGGCUAAAAAUGUUAUACACUUAAUUGAUUGCAACUUAACGUUCUCGGAUUCCUAGUAGUGGUUCUUAUAAAAAUAUAAAAGGUGCGUCUCUUAUAUAAUAUAGUCUUUCUUAAACAGCCUAUUUAAAGAGUCAUCAGGAAGCAGUAUAUAUAUAAAAAUUGAAUUGCUCUAAUGGAAGGAGGGAGUUAAAUUAUAUUGUCUGUAAUAAAAUAAUAAUUUUAAAAAAUAAAAGACAAAAUACGGAGAAAAAAAGAAGGUAUAAUUGAUUUAAAAGUGAAAAUCAUGAGCAUUUUUUUAUUUUUUAGAUUAAGGGUUAUAAAAACAUAAUAACUAGAGAUGUAUAAGUUAUUUGUAAAGGAUAAUUUCUAGCAUUUUUUUUUUCAAUGAUACAUGCAAAAUAAUUAAUCGAUUGUUUGUUUGUUUUUUUUUUUUUUUUUCAAGUCUUAAAUCAAGUUACUUUAAGAUUUAAAAUUAAAGUAAAAUAGAAAAAAAAAUGUCUUUUCCAUCAAGAGAAUUUUUUUUUGAAAAAGUGGUGAUUUAAAAAACAAACAAUUUUAAUUGCUUUGAAAUUAAAGUUAAGGAAAAUUUAAAAAUUAAAAAUAAAAUAAAACUUUAAUAUGGAAUACACUAAAAGUAAUGACAAGAGUAAUUGGCUGUUGUUUCUUUGUACUAAUUCAUGUCAAAUAAAAGUAGGCAUAUUUACUGUCCCAUUAAUGACUAGGGAUCCUCGCCAAAAGGCAAAGAGCAUUCUUCUUGUGCAUUGUAAUACCAGGUUUGACGUCGAUGUCUAUGUCUUCCUUGUUCAUUCCAGCGGGCAUUUCCCAGUCAAACGAGUAAAGAAGAUUAGCUAGUGUCAGCUCCACCAUCGCAGCUCCUAGAUUUAAGCCUGGGCAAAUUCUUCGUCCUCCUCCGAAGGGUAUGAGUUGGUAAUCCUGUCCUUUGAAGUCUAUGGAAGUUCCCAAGAAUCUCUCAGGCAUGAACUCUUCUGGGUUUUCCCAGGACUCAGGAUCUCUUCCGAUUGCCCAUGCAUUCACAUACACUAGGGUUUUGGGUGGUAUCUCAUACCCAUCUAUCACACACUUCUCAAGUGUUUCUCUCGGGACUAGCAAUGGGCUUGCAGGGUGCAAUCUCAUCGUCUCCUUCACAAUUGCUUUCAGAUACGGAAGCUUCUGAAGAUCAUCUUCAUCUACAAAACCUUUCUUUCCGAUUAAAUUUCUGAGUUCCUCUUGUGCUUUCGUCAUCGUUCUAGGAUUCUUCAUGAGCAUUGUCAUUGCCCAAACCAAGGUAGCUGCGCUUGUAUCUGUCCCUGCGAGAAAUAUGUUCUGAAAAAAAAUAAAAAAUAAAAAAUAAUAAUAAUGAAAUUAAUUAAGAAAAAAAUAGACAUGGGUCAUUUCUAAUAUGCUUUAGAUUCAUGUUAUCUAGUCAUACUAAUUUUGGGGUAAAAAUAAAUUACCAUGAGAACUGCUUUAAUGUGAUCAAAAGUGAGAUCAAUUGUAAACAGACGAUUCUUCUGCAGUUUAAGUAAGACGUCAGUGAUGUCUUCUUUCUCAGGCUCUGGUCUAUUUGGAUCCAGGUGCUCAUCAAUGAUUUCUUGAUAAAACAAAUCAAAUUCCUUGAAAUUUUUAUCGGCCAGAGCAAUCAUCCCUGUGAGUUUAUCAACCCAGCCCAUCAAAGGAAAAUAAUCCGAGAAAUAGAAGCCUCCCACCACAGCCUGACCUUCACCUACGAGUUUCUGAAAUCUGCUUCUUUCAUAUCCUUCAUCAUCGUACCUCUUACUGAAAGCAACCCUGCAGAUUAUGGUGCUUGUGAGAGAAAUUAAGAUCUCACUUAAGUUAGUGAGCUUGGAAGCAGAAGCAAACUGGGAAAUUUUUUUAAUCAUUUCCAAAACCUCAUCUUCCCGAAUGGGACGAAAGGAUUGCGCCCUUUUAGAGUUGAAAAGAUGGAGAACACAAAUCUUCCUCAUUUCUCUCCAAUAAUCAUUAUAUGGUGAAAAGGCCACAUCCAGGCCAUUGUAGGAUAGCUUCCGCAGACCAAGCAAGGAAGGCCUACCAGAAAAUUCAAGAUCAUGUGUUUUCAUGACCUCUUUUGCCAUUCUUGCUGAAGAAACCACUAGGGUUGGCACAAAACCAAGGCGCAAGAUCAUGAGGGGGCCAUAUUGCUUAGAAAGUCGCCAUAGGUAGAUAUGAGGAGCUGAUUUAUCAAGCUGGAGCAAGUUUCCAAUCAGGGGAAGCCCUGGAGGACCUGGUGGGAGGGGCGUUCUUCUUCGAUUCCGAAGAAGAAACAAGAGAAAGAGAGGGAGAGCUAAAAGGAUAAGAAGCAAAAUCA